rnacentral:rRNA from 1 species
ACACCAGACUCCUACGGGAGGCAGCAGUGGGGAAUAUUGCACAAUGGGGGAAACCCUGAUGCAGCAACGCCGCGUGAGUGAAGAAGUAUUUCGGUAUGUAAAGCUCUAUCAGCAGGGAAGAAGAAAGACGGUACCUGACUAAGAAGCCCCGGCUAACUACGUGCCAGCAGCCGCGGUAAUACGUAGGGGGCAAGCGUUAUCCGGAUUUACUGGGUGUAAAGGGGGCGCAGACGGCAGCGCAAGCCAGGAGUGAAAGCCCGGGGCCCAACCCCGGGACUGCUCUGGAAACUGCGGCGCUGGAGUACGGGAGGGGCAGGCGGAAUUCCUGGUGUAGCGGUGAAAUGCGUAGAUAUCAGGAGGAACACCGGCGGCGAAGGCGGCCUGCUGGACCGUGACUGACGUUGAGGCUCGAGAGCGUGGGGAGCAAACAGGAUUAGAUACCCGUGUA